GAUGAACGCUGGCGGCGUGCCUAAUACAUGCAAGUCGAGCGAACAGACGAGGAGCUUGCUCCUCUGACGUUAGCGGCGGACGGGUGAGUAACACGUGGAUCACCUACCUAUCAGACUGGGAUAACUUCGGGAAACCGGAGCUAAUACCGGAUAAUAUAUUGAACCGCAUUGUUCAAUAGUGAAAGACGGUUUUGCUGUCACUUAUAGAUGGAUCCGCGCCGCAUUAGCUAGUUGGUAAGGUAACGGCUUACCAAGGCAACGAUGCGUAGCCGACCUGAGAGGGUGAUAGCCCACACUGGAGCUGAGACACGGUCAAGACUCCUACGGGAGGCAGCAGAAGCGAAUGUUACGCAGUGGGCGAAAGCAUGACGGAGCAACGCCGCGUGAGUGAUGAAGGUGUCGGGAGCGUAAAGACCUGUUAUGAGGGAAGAACAAAUGUGUAAGUAAAUAAGGAGGGAUUGACGGUACCUAAUCAGAAAGCAACGGCUAACUACGUG
rnacentral:rRNA from 1 species